UACGUAGGGGGGCUAGCGUUGUCCGGAAUCAUUGGGCGUAAAGCGCGUGUAGGCGGUCCGGUAAGUCCGCUGUGAAAGUCGGGGGCUCAACCCUCGAAUGCCGGUGGAUACUGUCGGGCUAGAGUGCGGAAGAGGCGAGUGGAAUUCCUGGUGUAGCGGUGAAAUGCGCAGAUAUCAGGAGGAACACCAAUUGCGAAGGCAGCUCGCUGGGACGUAACUGCGCUGAGAACGCGAAAGCGUGGGGAGCAAACAGG
rnacentral:rRNA from 1 species